rnacentral:rRNA from 1 species
ACUCCUACGGGAGGCAGCAGUGGGGAAUCUUGGACAAUGGGGCAACCCGUGAUCCAGCCAUGCCGCGUGAGUGAUGAAGGCCUUAGGGUCGUAAAGCUCUUUCGCCUGUGAAGAUAAUGACGGUAGCAGGUAAAGAAACCCCGGCUAACUCCGUGCCAGCAGCCGCGGUAAUACGGAGGGGUUAGCGUUGUUCGGAAUUACUGGGCGUAAAGCGCACGUAGGCGGAUCGGAAAGUUGGGGUGAAAUCCCCGGGGCUCAAACCCCCGGGAACGGCCUCCAAAACUAUCGGUCUAGAGUUCGAGAGAGGUGAGUGGAAUUCCGAGUGUAGAGGUGAAAUUCGGUAAUAUUCGGAGGAACACCAGUGGCGAAGGCGGCUCACUGGCUCGAUACUGACGCUGAGGU